UCGAACGGGACAAUCUUGGUAGCAAUAUCGAGAUUGUUCAGUGGCGAACGGGUGCGUAACACGUGGAUACAUUCCGGAAAGCGGGGGACAGCCCAGGGAAACUUGGAUUAAUACCGCAUGUGGUCGCAAGACUAAAGGUGGGGACCGCAAGGCCUGCCACUUUCCGAUUGGUCCGCGGCCUAUCAGCUAGUUGGUGAGGUAAGAGCUCACCAAGGCGACGACGGGUAGCUGGUCUUAGAGGACGACCAGCCACACUGGAACUGAGACACGGUCCAGACACCUACGGGUGGCAGCAGUCGAGAAUCUUUCACAAUGGGGGCAACCCUGAUGGAGCGACGCCGCGUGGAGGAUAAGGUCUUCGGAUUGUAAACUCCUGUCAUGCGUGAACAAGGCUGCAGGGAUAAUACCUUUGCAGAUUGAUGGUAGCGCAAGAGGAAGAGACGGCUAACUCUGUGCCAGCAGCCGCGGUAAUACAGAGGUCUCAAGCGUUG
rnacentral:rRNA from 1 species